GAGAAGAGGUGGCCUCCUUCCCCUUCCAACCCGGCCAGGAUUUUGAGAUGAUCAUCCAGUGUGACAUCGACCGCUUCCACGUGACCGUCGAUGGCACCCACCAGCUGGAGUUCAUCUACAGGGAUGCAAACCUGCAAAGCAUCACAGCACUAAGAAUGUGGCAUGACGUGUUGCUGAGGGACGUCAGGCUGAUGUGACGUCUCCGCCGUGACCAGAUCGGAAGCCCCCAGCUGACGGACGCUUCCUGUCUGCUCGCCGUGAUGUGAACAGCAGUUGAGUCGAUUCUAACAUGACUGCUCAGUGCUGCCAAUCUCUGUGAUCAGUGAUGACUAAUAAAGCCGCUGAAGAAUA